GACGAACGCUGGCGGCGUGCCUAAUACAUGCAAGUAGAACGCUGAUGGAGGAGCUUGCUUCUCUGGAUGAGUUGCGAACGGGUGAGUAACGCGUAGGUAACCUGCCUGGUAGCGGGGGAUAACUAUUGGAAACGAUAGCUAAUACCGCAUAAUAGCAGUUGUUGCAUGACAACUGUUUGAAAGGUGCAAUUGCACCACUACCAGAUGGACCUGCGUUGUAUUAGCUAGUUGGUGGGGUAACGGCUCACCAAGGCGACGAUACAUAGCCGACCUGAGAGGGUGAUCGGCCACACUGGGACUGAGACACGGCCCAGACUCCUACGGGAGGCAGCAGUAGGGAAUCUUCGGCAAUGGACGGAAGUCUGACCGAGCAACGCCGCGUGAGUGAAGAAGGUUUUCGGAUCGUAAAGCUCUGUUGUAAGAGAAGAACGAGUGUGAGAGUGGAAAGUUCACACUGUGACGGUAGCUUACCAGAAAGGGACGGCUAACUACGUG
rnacentral:rRNA from 1 species